UAUUUCCUCAUAUAAAUUCACUUUUUUCGGAUUAUUUCACCAAUUCGGUUCACUGUUUGUAUCGAAUAUAUUUUUUUUUGUUGGCAGAUCACCCAUAUCGAAGGAAAAAGAUCAAUUUCAACGUUGUGGAUACAAUAAUAUCCAGGAAACUGUCAGAGAUAAAAAAAAUAGUGUAAAUGGAAAAAGAUUUUUUUAUGUAUCACACAAAAGAACAACUGUUUAUUUAACUGAUAACAUUUAAAUUCCGCUAGAAGGAAACAUUAGAAUUCUCUAUAAAUCGUUUGAAAAUGCACAAGUUUUACAUAUUCCUGAAAUAUUUAAAAUUACAUUUAACAAAUAAAUAUUUCAGCAUUUUAUUAAUAAGAUUCACUAAAGAUUAAUUCAACUCACGACAUAUCGAGAACUUGGUUAUCUUGUAACUGCGAUAUCUAAUUACGAACAAUUCUAUACCAUUUAAUCAUCACAUCUGUUAAUCUUCAUUCCGUUGGUUAAUCUCGACCACUAUAUAAUCAUUUUCGCACAUUUCGUGAAAUUCUCAGGUAAUUCUCAACGAGACACUCGAAAUUAGUCAAUUUACGAUAUUCGAAAUCCUGAUUAAAAGAAACCAGAGUUUAUUUUAUUGCGCAAUUUGACAUUUCUAACUUUAUCACCUUCCAAGUAUUAUAAUUCAUCGGACUUGAACAGCCGCAGAAACAGAUACAUAUCCAGCGACACGAUCAUUAAGCAAGCUGGUAAAUUAGAAAGCAUGUAGCGCCACCAUUUUGGAGGUUAGUUUUUGUUUUGUCAUCUGUGGAACCCGUAGCGCUGUUCUCGAACUUGUGUCACACCGCAGUUUAAAUCACGGGAUGUGGAUUAGCAUAACGAGUAAGCAUGGUGUAUAAUGCACAAUGAUAAUUUGCGUUCAACUUCCUGUGCAAUUUAGAUAUCAGAUUGCUAAAGGGGCGUUCUAUUAAACUGGACACAGGAAAUAUCAUCUGAUAGAUGAAAAAGUAGAUUUACGAGAUACUUAAUGCGUGUUUAAUUGGAACGAAGAAUCGUACGAUUACGUACAUUUUUAAAAUCACACGUGUAUUAUCUUGGGAAACGAUGGAUCGGAUCGAUAUUAUUCAUCGCAUGACUCGAACUUCUUUUAUAUUAUGUUUUUCAUAUCAAUCCAAGUAUGAUGGACAACAAGAGACCAACCGUGGAAUCGACUGAAUAAAUUUUAAUUUUCCAAGCCGCCAGCUUAUUCACCUUGACAAGUUGAAUCAACAGCAUCGUACGUAUGACAGGUUAAAGAAACUUCUUUGGGUUAUUCGCAAUGUUACAAUGUUGGACGGAUAUUUAGAGCACGGGUAACGAGAUCAAGAGGAUAACAACUUGCGACAUGUUUAAUCAUUACUGACCAAAAAAGGAUGUUUCCAGUGAAACGAGAAAUUCCAAGUAGCCUGACAGGAAUAAAUCUAAUAUUUAUUAUGAUAUAUAUUUCGUAUAAAUAGGAUAAUCAUUUAUUAAUUUUUCCAUUUUACAUUGUUCGUGACGAUUUUAUGAAAAAAAUUCAUUUAAUUUAAUAUUCAAUCUUAUCUACAAUCUUUAAUAAAUAUUUUGUAUUUGCAGAAAGGUGAUAGAUCGUUUCCACAAUUAUAUUGCCAUUUUGAAGAGUUAUCGCGAUAAGAUAAUGCCUCAACUAUGGAAGGUGUUCGAGUAGUAGUCGUCUAAGAGCUUUGGGAUUCAUUUUCAGAAUAUCAAACUGAUGCGAUAUUUGAAACUCUUUGAAAUUUAAAAAGGUUUAUAGAAAUAUCGUGAUAUCAACUAAAGAUUUCUUCGUUAUAAUAAUUUUCCACGAUAGAAGAAGAAGGUCGGAAAGGGAUGAUCGACACGUAGAGAUCUAAUGCAAAUCUAAUACAACAUGGAACAGAUAGGGGGAUUACAAUUAAGCCGAAUUACAAAUGCCACAUUGACAGGUUAGAAUACGUUCGACCUAUUGGAAUUUUAAAACAGGGACAUAGCAUUCAGAGUUGGAAUUUUUUUUAAAGGAAUUGUGCAGAAAUUGGCGCGAUUCUUAUUAUUAUUUUUUUUCUCGAUAAAAAUGAAAAGAAAAAUUGCACAAGCGAUAAUCAAAUUCAACAAAGAGGGGAGAAACGAGCGAAUUAAUUCCCCGGAAUCUAAUGGAGAACGAUUGUCGGUGAUUAAAAUAUAAAUGGGAAAAGGUCAACAGUGAAACGAUCGGUGUGCACAGGAUUUGAAUUGUGCCCGUGGCGCAAAUGAAAACGAAUAAUUCAUUAACAUUCACCAGUUAUUCCCCCGGUUAUUCGAUAUCGAAAGUACUUUUUGCUCCGCCCCUCAUCUCUCAUAAUUCUCCGCCGAAAAUGCUAUAUUCCGAAUUUUCCCAUCUCUUACUUGCUCGCACAACGUACAACGCGUUACAGGAAAUAACGAGCCGACGUUACAACAUUCGAAAUUUCCCGACUUAAUAUUUGCACCAUCGUGCUAAUUGCAAUUUCCUCUUAGAAAAAAAUGUCGCGUGCUUGCAUUCUCUUUUUCUUUUUUUUUUUUUGCGAAUUGAACUAUAGCUGCAACUAUAAACAGAUGAUUUAUACAGUCAUCGA